rnacentral:rRNA from 1 species
UGGGGAAUCUUGGACAAUGGGGGCAACCCUGAUCCAGCCAUGCCGCGUGGGUGAAGAAGGCCUUAGGGUUGUAAAGCCCUUUCAGUCGUGACGAUGAUGACGGUAGCGACAGAAGAAGCCCCGGCUAACUCCGUGCCAGCAGCCGCGGUAAUACGGAGGGGGCAAGCGUUGUUCGGAUUUACUGGGCGUAAAGGGCGCGUAGGCGGACGGUCAAGUCAGAGGUGAAAUCCCGGAGCUCAACUCCGGAACUGCCUUUGAUACUGCUCAUCUUGAGACCGGGAGAGGAGAGUGGAAUUCCCAGUGUAGAGGUGAAAUUCGUAGAUAUUGGGAAGAACACCCGUGGCGAAGGCGGCUCUCUGGCCCGGUUCUGACGCUGAGGUGCGACAGCGUGGGGAGCAAACAGGAUUAGAUACCCGCGUAGUCC